rnacentral:rRNA from 1 species
UAAGGAAUAUUGGUCAAUGGGCGCAAGCCUGAACCAGCCAUGCCGCGUGAAGGAUGACAGCCCUAUGGGUUGUAAACUUCUUUUAUACAGGAAAAAACCUUCCGACGUGUCGGGAGCUGAUGGUACUGUAAGAAUAAGGAUCGGCUAACUCCGUGCCAGCAGCCGCGGUAAUACGGAGGAUCCAAGCGUUAUCCGGAUUUAUUGGGUUUAAAGGGUGCGUAGGCGGAUUGGUAAGUCAGUGGUGAAAUCCUACAGCUUAACUGUAGAACUGCCAUUGAUACUAUCAGUCUUGAGUACAAUUGAAGUGGGCGGAAUGUGUCAUGUAGCGGUGAAAUGCAUAGAGAUGACACAGAACACCGAUAGCGAAGGCAGCUCACUAAACUGUAACUGACGCUGAUGCACGAAAGCGUGGGGAUCAAACAGG